UACGGAGGAUGCGAGCGUUAUCCGGAUUUAUUGGGUUUAAAGGGUGCGUAGGCGGACUGUCAAGUCAGCGGUAAAAUUGAGAGGCUCAACCUCUUCCCGCCGUUGAAACUGGCGUUCUUGAGUGGGCGAGAUGUAUGCGGAAUGCGUGGUGUAGCGGUGAAAUGCAUAGAUAUCACGCAGAACUCCGAUUGCGAAGGCAGCAUACCGGCGCCCUACUGACGCUGAGGCACGAAAGCGUGGGUAUCGAACAGG
rnacentral:rRNA from 1 species